UCAUAAUACAAAAAGAAAAUGCUCUCCUAGCUGAAAUGGGUUCUCUCUAUCUCUACCCUAACCUUCUUGCCUCACGCCUCUCCCCUCGGUCUCUCUUUCUCUCUCUAUCCCUUCUCUCUCUCUCUCUCUCUCUCUCUCUCUCUCUCUCUCUCGCAUGGGCGACUGAAGAAUGGAAGGAUACAGGGGCUUCUAUGUCUCAGCGAUGGGCUUCGGGCAGGGACUGUACUCUCUUUCCCUCUCACUCACUCUCGCUCUCACAAAACUCUUUCCCUCUCGCUAUCUCUUUCUCUCUAUGAGAUAUUCUCUCGUUCAACCUUUCUCUCUAUUUGUUGCAGGUGUGCUCUAGGGUGCUGGGCUCUUGAGGCGUGUUACAGGGAGACUCAGCUCAUGGGUUCUACAGGGUGGCUUCCUCGUCCGUGCGAUGGGUUCGACUUCGAUGAGAUUGUACUGCAACAAAUUGAUUUUCUGGGUUUGUUAACAACUUGCCCAUGGGAUACCCUGUUCUACCACAGCCUCCAAUGCCAGCCACAGGUCAACCUCAUCUCGACUCAAUGAACUGUGGAAUAUCAAGCUGUCAUGUGGUUAAUGGUGUCCCUGCACCGAGCAACUAUCAUCCUAUUAGGAUGAACUCUGGAAAUGAUAUGUUGAUGGACAGCAAUGGCGGUGAUAUGGCACUUGUUAUUCCCCCAAGUAGUGCAAUGUCUUCCAUGUAAGAGAUGGCCAUGAGUCCUACAUCAGUGGCAUCCAGCAGUCACUUCCCAUUCACGGCAUCAGAAAAAUCAGUAGUGGGAUUAGAGGGAUCUCUCAAUAUUUGGCAACCAAAUUUGAUUCAAAAUGUCAGGGCAUCACCAUCACUCCAAGCUCAAAGGAUCAAUUCUCUCUCUUCUGCUCAAGGAUUGGCCACUAAGUUCAUAUUGGGUUUUCGUUGUAGUGAUGCUUAAAGAAAUGCAUUUCAAUCUAUAUCUCAAGGCAUUAAAAGAUCCCUUCUGGAGUACUAUAAGUAUAGAUUCUAAUGUUUGAGUUGCUGAUGCGGCUCUCAGAGCAUUGAAUUGGAGUGACAUAACCGGGAAACGCAUAAAACAUGAACCAAGCUGCCUUGGUAGAGCAUGUCAGAAUUUGUACUUUUGGGCUCCAAAAGGAUAUCUGAUUCAGUUCAUGAAGUUGCCAAUGCUUUACUGAAGAGAUUGCUUCCUGGACAUGAACUUUGUUUUAUUUUCAAGAUUGUCUCCAAGCUAAGCAAAUGGACUCACAACAAAGACAAGUGCACAAAGGAUGAUGAAUUGAAGGAUGGAGCAAGUUUCAUGCAUGGUUUGCUUUUGUGUAUCUUGUAAUGUUUCUGUUUUUCAUUUUUGAAGUAAAAAAUGUUUAAGAUUAUAAAAAUUUAUUAUGUUAUGCUUUCAAACAUAAGUUAGAACUAAGAUCUCAUGAAGUAGACACAUUCAUGGUUUGAAUUAGUUAUUGUUUAAUGUAAUACUUAUGGUUUAUCAAUCUAUUGAGAAUUACAUUUUAUGAAUAA